AAAUGUGAUGUGGCCUUUGGGUUGGCAAACCGAAGGUUAUACCCUGGUCCAUAGGGUCCAUACGACUGUGGUGCUGUAGGCCUGUAGGAGACAAGUCUUUCAGUUCAGAAUAGACAUAUCUGAUGCACUUUGCUGGAAACAACAUUAGUGGAACCAACAUUACUCUGAAGCAACCGUUGAGCAAUUCUUUUCUGGUGAUAUGAAAUUAAAGAUGGAAACGAGGUUAAAAACGGAGUUGACAAGCUAACACGAGAUGAGAAACGACCCACAACACGCGGCAGUUGUUGUUUUACUCCUCGACCCGCGGAAGCGAUCAAACGAGAAUAUGUGGAAGUCGGCUAAAUAUUGUUAUUCAAAAGAUCCAAUUCAAAAUUCUUAAAAAGGAGCCGUAUACAAUUGAGUGGUGGGGGAUCAAUUUUAUUAAUGUAUAUCAUCUUCACACAAAUUAAGAAGUGGCAGCCGUCAAAUUACAAGAGGAGGAUCGAAUAUGGGGCAGCCCAUUAUCUCGAAUUUUGGAGCCACCAUCACGUGUUAAGGAGCAGUUUCCAUUGACUUCUUUGGGCCAUAAUCACACUUCAUCAUUCACGAAUUGUUUGGCAGCAAAGAGGACUUGGGCCACGAACAACUACUGGAACAGACUUCAUUAAUUGGGCUUGACAAUUGGCAGCCACCAGCAUCGAUUUUGGGCUGCUGGAUCCUCAAAAAGUUGGGCAGCCAUCGACUAGUAUCUUUGGGGAGCCUUUAAUUCAUUAAUAUAUAUCACUCCAUUAUUAUCGAUGAGGGGAGCCGACAUUCGAGAAGUCAGGGACGAAUUUCAAGGAUAACCAUUCAGCUUUCAUUCCUUCAUUCAAGCCAAGCAAUAAUGUCCAACCAACUCGGGAUGACAACUGAUGCGGUAGAGAUAAGCAUGCGCGGCUAAGCUUCUCGUGACUUCUACCCAGAUGAACUUUUGCUUGUUUUUGCAUUGAGCUUUGUUUACGGAUUCUUGUAACUAGUAUAUCUUGACCACUUGUGUUGGAUUAUUGGUAAAUGUUUCUUGUGUUUGAAUUACUUGUCGU
rnacentral:lncRNA from 1 species